CAACAAUGAUAAAAACUUUCCCAUGCAGGAACCAAACUCGCAUCUCUAUCGCUUACUGGUGAAAAGCCCAACCAUUACUCCACAGACAGCAGUAAGUAGAGAUCAGUUCUGUGGGUGAGUAGAAUUUUGAUUAUCUCUGUCUUAUCAGCUGGGAAGUUGUAUGUCUCUCAGCCGGGGUUGGCCCCAACAAGAAGAGUUGAUUCCCGCCCCUGUCCACUUAAAAGCUCAUUUUUUUAUGAGUAGUUUUAUUGGACAAUGUUGAUCGAAGGUACCCAAAAAAUUUAAUUUUCAGUUUUCGAGAACGCUCGAGCUUUGGAAAUGACCCAAAUUUGUCUGCCGUUUAAAUACGUUGGUUGGAGGAGUUUGAUUAAAGAAAAGAAAAAGAAAAGGAAUCAGUUCUUCAAAUGCAUCUAAGAUAAAUACAUUUUAAUUCAGGAACAAGUAUAGUGCAUUUAUUUACUUCUUCUGUUAUCUGUAUUUUUCCAGCGCUGAAGACAGGGAACAGUGAGGUCAACAUCUACUACCUCAGUCAGAAGCUAAGGUUGGAGACAAGGUCCUGCUUUGUUAUUAGAUGGCUGUCAUCACGUAGAGUGGUUUCCUCUUUGCACAGUCGCUGAAGCGUGAACGUGUCAUGAAAGCACAAGAAGGUCUCCCCGUUGGCUGGCUGGCUGGCUGUCACAUCCGCGCUCCAUCAGUCUAGGGGUACAGACAAAGCUGGAGAUGAGAAAUGUGGAUGUACCGGAACUUUAGAGUCUUCGUGGGGAACUAGCUGAAGACAUGACAAGAGGACAACAUCCAGUGGAGCUCUUGUGAACAUCACUUUAAAUGUAUAAAUGAUAUGGCACCUCUUUACCGUAAAACAUUCCUGGAAUUAUAUCAUCCUCCUAGGGCUAAUUCUUAACCCUAUCAAAGCGCCUAGGGUCAUUUUGUACCCAAGGGGUUGUAUUCUUCACAUUUUAGAAUACUUCUAGUGCGAAGAUCUC